GCAGUCGAACGAUGAACCUCCUUCGGGAGGGGAUUAGUGGCGAACGGGUGAGUAACACGUGGGCAAUCUGCCCUGCACUCUGGGACAAGCCCUGGAAACGGGGUCUAAUACCGGAUACUGACCCGCUUGGGCAUCCAAGCGGUUCGAAAGCUCCGGCGGUGCAGGAUGAGCCCGCGGCCUAUCAGCUUGUUGGUGAGGUAAUGGCUCACCAAGGCGACGACGGGUAGCCGGCCUGAGAGGGCGACCGGCCACACUGGGACUGAGACACGGCCCAGACUCCUACGGGAGGCAGCAGUGGGGAAUAUUGCACAAUGGGCGAAAGCCUGAUGCAGCGACGCCGCGUGAGGGAUGACGGCCUUCGGGUUGUAAACCUCUUUCAGCAGGGAAGAAGCGAAAGUGACGGUACCUGCAGAAGAAGCGCCGGCUAACUACGUGCCAGCAGCCGCGGUAAUACGUAGGGCGCGAGCGUUGUCCGGAAUUAUUGGGCGUAAAGAGCUCGUAGGCGGCUUGUCACGUCGGUUGUGAAAGCCCGGGGCUUAACCCCGGGUCUGCAGUCGAUACGGGCAGGCUAGAGUUCGGUAGGGGAGAUCGGAAUUCCUGGUGUAGCGGUGAAAUGCGCAGAUAUCAGGAGGAACACCGGUGGCGAAGGCGGAUCUCUGGGCCGAUACUGACGCUGAGGAGCGAAAGCGUGGGGAGCGAACAGGAUUAGAUACCCUGGUAGUCCACGCCGUAAACGGUGGGCACUAGGUGUGGGCGACAUUCCACGUCGUCCGUGCCGCAGCUAACG
rnacentral:rRNA from 1 species